rnacentral:rRNA from 1 species
GACAGAGGCCUCAAGCGUUAGGCGGAAUCACUGGGCUUAAAGCGUGUGUAGGCGGACUUCUAAGUGCCUUGUGAAAUCCCACGGCUCAACCGUGGAACUGCUGGGCAUACUGGGAGUCUUGGGCCAUUCAGGGGCAACUGGAACAAGCGGUGGAGCGGUGAAAUGCGUAGAUAUUCGGAAGAACACCAGUGGCGAAGGCGGCUCACUGGUCCGGUACUGACGCUGAGGUGCGAAAGCGUGGGGAGCAAACAGG